rnacentral:rRNA from 1 species
AGAACGAACGCUGGCGGCAUGCCUAAUACAUGCAAGUCGAACGAACACUUCGGUGUUAGUGGCGCACGGGUGCGUAACGCGUGGGAAUCUGCCCUUGGGUUCGGAAUAACAGUUGGAAACGACUGCUAAUACCGGAUGAUAUCGAAAGAUCAAAGAUUUAUCGCCCAGGGAUGAGCCCGCGUAGGAUUAGCUAGUUGGUGAGGUAAAGGCUCACCAAGGCGACGAUCCUUAGCUGGUCUGAGAGGAUGAUCAGCCACACUGGGACUGAGACACGGCCCAGACCUCCUACGGGAGCAGCAGUAGGGAAUAGUUGGAC